UACGUAGGGUGCAAGCGUUUAUCCGGAAUUAUUGGGCGUAAAGAGCUCGUAGGCGGUUUGUCGCGUCUGCUGUGAAAACUGGGGGCUCAACCCCCCAGCCUGCAGUGGGUACGGGCAGACUAGAGUGCGGUAGGGGAGAUUGGAAUUCCUGGUGUAGCGGUGGAAUGCGCAGAUAUCAGGAGGAACACCGGGUGGCGAAGGCGGGUCUCUGGGCCGAUACUGACGCUGGAGGAGCGAAAGGCGUGGGGAGCGAACAGG
rnacentral:rRNA from 1 species